rnacentral:rRNA from 1 species
CACGUAGGGCGCAAGCGUUGUCCGGAAUUAUUGGGCGUAAAGAGCUCGUAGGCGGUCUGUUGCGUCUGCUGUGAAAACCCGGGGCUUAACCCCUGGCUUGCAGUGGAUACGGACAGACUAGAGGUAGGUAGGGGAGAAUGGAAUUCCCGGUGUAGCGGUGAAAUGCGCAGAUAUCGGGAGGAACACCGGUGGCGAAGGCGGUUCUCUGGGCCGGAACUGACGCUGAGGAGCGAAAGCGUGGGGAGCAAACAGG